AAUAUUCUUCGGGGCAGGGUGUAAUUCCCUACCGGCGGUUAUAGUCCGCGACUCCUCUUUAUGAGGAUUGAUUUGGUGUAAUUCCAAAACCGACAGUUAGAGUCUGGAUGGGAGAAGGAUAAA
rnacentral:ncRNA from 2 species